CCGGCGACCGGCGCACGGGUGAGUAACGCGUAUGCAACCUGCCCGUUUCAGCGGGAUAACCCGGAGAAAUCCGGCCUAAUACGCAUGUGGCCGAGGGGAGGCAUCUUCUUUCGGCCAAAGGAGGCGACUCCGGAGACGGAUGGGCAUGCGUGACAUUAGCUAGUUGGCGGGGUAACGGCCCACCAAGGCGACGAUGUCUAGGGGUUCUGAGAGGAAGGUCCCCCACACUGGUACUGAGACACGGACCAGACUCCUACGGGAGGCAGCAG
rnacentral:rRNA from 1 species